ACAUGCAGUCGAACGAUGAAGCCCAGCUUGCUGGGUGGAUUAGUGGCGAACGGGUGAGUAACACGUGAGUAACCUGCCCUUGACUCUGGGAUAAGCGCUGGAAACGGCGUCUAAUACCGGAUACGACCUGCCCCGGCAUCGGAUGCGGGUGGAAAGUUUUUCGGUCAAGGAUGGACUCGCGGCCUAUCAGCUAGUUGGUGAGGUAAUGGCUCACCAAGGCGACGACGGGUAGCCGGCCUGAGAGGGUGACCGGCCACACUGGGACUGAGACACGGCCCAGACUCCUACGGGAGGCAGCAGUGGGGAAUAUUGCACAAUGGGCGAAAGCCUGAUGCAGCAACGCCGCGUGGGGGGUGACGGCCUUCGGGUUGUAAACCUCUUUUAGUAGGGAAGAAGGGCUUCGGCUUGACGGUACCUGCAGAAAAAGCACCGGCUAACUACGUGCCA
rnacentral:rRNA from 1 species